rnacentral:rRNA from 1 species
UACGUAGGGCGCAAGCGUUGUCCGGAUUCACUGGGUGUAAAGGGUGCGUAGGCGGGGAAGUAAGUCCGCGGUGAAAUCUCACGGCUCAACCGUGAAACUGCCGUUGAUACUGCUUUUCUUUGAGUUCGGGAGAGGUUGAUGGAAUUCCAGGUGUAGCGGUGAAAUGCGUAGAUAUCUGGAAGAACACCAGUGGCGAAGGCGGUCAGCUGGCCCGAAACUGACGCUGAGGCACGAAAGCGUGGGGAGCGAACAGG